rnacentral:rRNA from 1 species
AGUGGCGGACGGGUGAGUAACGCGUGGGUAACCUGCCUCAUACAGGGGGAUAACAGUUAGAAAUGGCUGCUAAUACCGCAUAAGACCACAGCACCGCAUGGUGCAGGGGUAAAAACUCCGGUGGUAUGAGAUGGACCCGCGUCUGAUUAGCUAGUUGGUGGGGUAACGGCCUACCAAGGCGACGAUCAGUAGCCGACCUGAGAGGGUGACCGGCCACAUUGGGACUGAGACACGGCCCAAACUCCUACGGGAGGCAGCAGUGGGGAAUAUUGCACAAUGGGGGAAACCCUGAUGCAGCGACGCCGCGUGAAGGAUGAAGUAUUUCGGUAUGUAAACUUCUAUCAGCAGGGAAGAAAAUGACGGUACCUGACUAAGAAGCCCCGGCUAACUACGUGCCAGCAGCCGCGGUAAUACGUAGGGGGCAAGCGUUAUCCGGAUUUACUGGGUGUAAAGGGAGCGUAGACGGUAUGGCAAGUCUGAUGUGAAAGGCCAGGGCUCAACCCUGGGACUGCAUUGGAAACUGUCGAACUAGAGUGUCGGAGAGGCAAGUGGAAUUCCUAGUGUAGCGGUGAAAUGCGUAGAUAUUAGGAGGAACACCAGUGGCGAAGGCGGCUUGCUGGACGAUGACUGACGUUGAGGCUCGAAAGCGUGGGGAGCAAACAGG